GCAGGUGUAGUUCAAUGGUAGAACUUCAGCCUUCCAAGCUGACUACGUGAGUUCGAUUCUCAUCACCUGCUCCA
rnacentral:tRNA from 32 species